UUAUUCACUAUCUAUAUAAAGCACAGUUGCACUGGAUACUGGAAAACUUGACAGAAUACUAGUGACAACUCAUAAAAUCCUAGAUUUGCAAUAAUCUCAGUUACCCGCGAGGUUACUGGGGAAUAAAUUAGCCCUCAUUAAGCGAGGCGUGGAUGUUUAUCGAGGUCAUAUGUGAAGUACAUUGAAAUCUACUUCCGUUUCCAAUCCCUCUCUCCUACAUCUAUGGACUGACUAAGUAAGUAAGUGAGUAAGUAAGUGAGUAAGUUUCUUGCCCAGCAUUUGCUCCAAGUACAGCCCUCUCCAGGACAUUCUGCACAGGGUUUCCAAACGACUACAACCUGGAUUACAAAGCGCUUCUUCAGAUUUGCGAUUGCUUCCACGAGGCAGAUGACCUCUCAGUCUCUAUUUCUCUUACCUAGACAAUUCCGCCAUCUUUAAUGACUCAGCAAUUGCAGAUAGGCGUGGCUAAGAAACCGUGCGCCUAAAAUCAGUGCAGUGCUUUUCCGGUUCCAGAGCCUGGAGGUGUUGCUUUUCUUCACACUGUUCAGUUCUAGCUCCCUUUCUCUGACAAGCAUGCUAUAUGCACUGGCUAUACAUAUCAUGCUCUUAAAACGGCUGUCAUUAAUUUUAAUACUGAUUCACAAAUUCAACAUAUCAAGCAAUAUUACUCAGUAUAAUUAUUAGUCCAGAGAUAUUCGAGAAAAUAUCUGAUUAGUCCUGUCUUCUCUUCUUGAACUUCUGUACUGCCUCUUGACGUUUCACUUGUAUUGAAAAAGAAAGGGAAUCCGACUAGAAAAACAUUUGCAAUGUGAAAAAUUGCUAGGAUUGGCCAGGGGAACCACAAAAAAGCGUGGAAACAAGAAAUCCGACGAGAGCAUAACUCCAAUCCGUUACAACGUCAUAAACAUGUACAAUACAUAGUAUAUAGACUGUGUUCCAGAUCCAUCUCUACCAGCUUCAUCCACCACAUCAUUCCAUGCAGGUCACCAGUACGGUCCGUGCAUGUUACUACGCAUGGAUGGACUGUGUGUACCUGUGCUCAACACUGCAUGUAUUAGGAACAUCAAUUCAUCACAAAUCAUCAUGAUUAUAAUUAUGCCCGCACAAAAUGGAUGUAUAAUAAAUAUAUAUAGGGAUUGGUCAUCACCCCACCAGUAAAAAUUGCGUGGUAUUAUUAUAUUGGCCAGAAAAAAAUGGAAAACUACAAGUACAUGUGAUUGACGUUGUAACGGAUUGGAGUUAUGCUCUCGUCGGAUUUCUUGUUUCCACGCUUUUUUGUGGUUCCCCUGGCCAAUCCUAGCAAUUUUUCACAUUGCAAAUGUUUUUCUAGUCGGAUAUAGUAAGAAACAGAACUGGGAUAGAAAGCUCCAGUCAUACUAUUAGAUCUUCAUCGUACUAUCAGUAUGCUGGAAGAAAUUUAUGAAGCUGAAGAAGGAAGAGUUGAUUGACUAUUUUGGGCUACAUAUUAAAAAACGAAAUGAAAGACUUUGUUACAUGCAAAAGACCUGUACAGUUGUAUAGCACCAGCUCUACCUCAUGCAGUAGCAGCAGUAGCAGUUCAUUAUGCAGCUUAUUAUGGCAGUUUAACUUUAUAUGACUUGUGAAAUGUUGAUAAUUUAUUAAAAUUUGGUAUUAAUAAAA